CAGCCUCCGGAUCACUGUUGUAGAAUGUGUACAAAACAGAGUGCCAACAGCAUUAGCGUUUUAUGUGACAGGGAAGAUGUCUCUGAAGCUGCUGCGGCUCAUCUCAGAUUAUCAGGGAAAGGGAAGGGAAGAAACCAAAAGCAAAUCCUGGGAGUGUAAACAGCCAUGAAAACAAGUUUCAGCACAUUUCAUCCAAUCAGCAGAAGGUCCACAUUCCCUCUUCCUGCCUGAGCUGGGAGCCUAAUCGAUCAAAGGCUCGCUAAUCCUCCCUGUGUGUCCAUCCUAGGCCGACGUGGAACAGCCUGUGCUUGGGGGGAUUUUUUAGAGAAGAGAUGCCCUCUGACCCUGUGCUGACUGCAGUCCUGAGACAGGAAGAGGUCAGAGGGCCACAACAGAAACUCAUUCACACCUCAAAGCAGCACACCAUAGGGGGAGGCAAGCUACUGCCGGGCAUCUGUAAGCCUCUGUUCGCCUUCACAGAGCCACUGUAUGAGGAACCAGACUGCAGAGUUCAGGCAGCAGCAGUAUCACUGCAGAUAUCACGUUUGUCAGGAGUCUAGACACUGAAGUAUGUGGAGAACUCAAUCAAUGUUGAUCUGUUAUCUAGUAAUACUCUUGUUUAUUGUUCAAUGGACGUAAGCACGAGACCUUAGAAUUUUUUUUUUUUUUUAAGAAACAGUUUGUCACGAGUUUUGAAAGUAUUGCUGUCUGGCAUAUCUCUGUCUAAUUAGAAAAACACACGCGGAGAAUAACGAAUUAAUUUCCUCUUUAGGAUUUCUCUGAUUAGGUUUUUCAAGAAUACAUUUUUAAAACUGCUAAUCUACUUUGUUUGGUAGAGUUUGGGUUGAAGCUGCCUCCACAGUUUCUGUGGCAGCAAUUUAGGUACUAGGUAAAAAAAAGAAACAUUAACAGUGACAUGGCUACAUGUUAGCUCCAAACCACACUAAAGAUGGCAUAUAAAGUUGGAGUAUUAGAAGUAUAUACCACUAAACUAAACGGCUAUUUCAAUACCAGUUUUAUAUAAAUGGAAUUUGUAUUGUAUUUGUGAAAACACAAAAGGUUGCAUUUUCAGUAUAUGUUUCUGGCAUUAGGACAACCUUAGAAUUAGAAAAAGCUGUCAAAGUUGGACUGAAUUAUUGUAGAAAUACAGAUAUAUUUAAAGUGAACGCCUUUGUUUUUUUUGUUUUUUUUUACAUAUUUGGACAUAUGGAUAUCUAAUAAAAAUGUGAACAAUAAUAACAAAUUCAAGUAAUAUAAAUGAAUAAUAAAAAUUGACAAAAAAACCUUUUAACAAUUUCUGUAAAAUGUAAUAGAGAAAUAUUUGGAAUAUAUUAGGACACCUUCGUAUUUGUUCCCACUUAAAACACUGACGUAUCACAUGAAGCGCACAUGAUGAGAACAUCAUUACUUAACAUUUUGACUCCAGACUGUUAAAGUGAGAUCUAGCAACAUAGAGCUGUCUGAUGCUGUCAGAAAGAAGACUGUAGCAGCUGAUGAGUCUGGUAAGGGACUUCAGGAAGUCUCAAAGGAAUUAUUCACUCCACUGUAUGGAAAACAGUCUACCACUGCUGGACAUUCAAAACAAGUGCCAAAAUCCUCAUUCUGAACGUUCAUGCAAGUUCACCCUGUGCUGUAAGAUGCUAAAAGGAGCAUAAACCAAAUGUAGCAUUCCAAGAAAAGAACCUCAUACCAACCGUAAAGCAUGCGGCUGGAAGCAUCGUGAUUUUGGGCUCUUUUGCUGCAGCACGACCUGGCCAGCUCACUCACCUUCCUACUAACCACCACGAGACCAUCUGUAAAAAAAUUACAGCUGAAGCAAAAUUGGACCCUGCAAGAUACAAUUAAACACAAUGUACCAGUAAAUCCACCAAGGCCUGCUUCAAGUCUGAGUCUUGGAAUGGAGUUCAAGGCCAGAUCUUCUACCCUUUUGAGAUGUGGGAUAACCAUAAAUGAGCUGUACAUGCAAGACAGCCCUCAAACAUCUCAGAACUAAAUGAAUUACACAUUUGUGAUUUGGGUAAAGUUUGUCAAUGGUAGAUGUCUACUGGAAAUGCAUUGCUGAAAUUCUUUCAGCAUAAGGGAGUAACACCAGCUUUUAGGGGUAUGAUUUUAACGUAUUUGUGUUGAUAUCUGUUGUUUAACGAGUAAAACAAGUAAGACUUUUUUACAUUCCUUUUUCCAAAUAUUAAAAGAAAUGACAUUAGCUAUUUUUAUGAGAUUAUUUCAUAAUAAAAAAAACCUGAAUAAAUAA